rnacentral:rRNA from 1 species
GAGGUUAAGCGACUAAGCGUACACGGUGGAUGCCCUGGCAGUCAGAGGCGAUGAAGGGCGUACUAAUCUGCGAUAAGCGCCGGUAAGGUGAUAUGAACCGUUAUAACCGGCGAUACCCGAAUGGGGAAACCCAGUGUGAUUCGUCACACUAUCAUUAACUGAAUCCAUAGGUUAAUGAGGCGAACCGGGGGAACUGAAACAUCUAAGUACCCCGAGGAAAAGAAAUCAACCGAGAUUCCCCCAGUAGCGGCGAGCGAACGGGGAGGAGCCCAGAGCCUGAAUCAGCAUGUGUGUUAGUGGAAGCGUCUGGAAAGGCGCGCGAUACAGGGUGACAGCCCCGUACACAAAAGCGCAUGUGCUGUGAGCUCGAUGAGUAGGGCGGGACACGUGGUAUCCUGUCUGAAUAUGGGGGGACCAUCCUCCAAGGCUAAAUACUCCUGACUGACCGAUAGUGAACCAGUACCGUGAGGGAAAGGCGAAAAGAACCCCGGCGAGGGGAGUGAAAAAGAACCUGAAACCGUGUACGUACAAGCAGUGGGAGCACCCUUUGGGUGUGACUGCGUACCUUUUGUAUAAUGGGUCAGCGACUUAUAUUCUGUAGCAAGGUUAACCGAAUAGGGGAGCCGGAGGGAAACCGAGUCUUAACCGGGCGUUAAGUUGCAGGGUAUAGACCCGAAACCCGGUGAUCUAGCCAUGGGCAGGUUGAAGGUUGGGUAACACUAACUGGAGGACCGAACCGACUAAUGUUGAAAAAUUAGCGGAUGACCUGUGGCUGGGGGUGAAAGGCCAAUCAAACCGGGAGAUAGCUGGUUCUCCCCGAAAGCUAUUUAGGUAGCGCCUCGUGAAUUCAUCUCCGGGGGUAGAGCACUGUUUCGGCUAGGGGGCCAUCCCGGCUUACCAACCCGAUGCAAACUGCGAAUACCGGAGAAUGUUAUCACGGGAGACACACGGCGGGUGCUAACGUCCGUCGUGAAGAGGGAAACAACCCAGACCGCCAGCUAAGGUCCCAAAGUCAUGGUUAAGUGGGAAACGAUGUGGGAAGGCCCAGACAGCCAGGAUGUUGGCUUAGAAGCAGCCAUCAUUUAAAGAAAGCGUAAUAGCUCACUGGUCGAGUCGGCCUGCGCGGAAGAUGUAACGGGGCUAAACCAUGCACCGAAGCUGCGGCAGCGACACUGUGUGUUGUUGGGUAGGGGAGCGUUCUGUAAGCCUGUGAAGGUGUGUCGUGAGGCAUGCUGGAGGUAUCAGAAGUGCGAAUGCUGACAUAAGUAACGAUAAAGCGGGUGAAAAGCCCGCUCGCCGGAAGACCAAGGGUUCCUGUCCAACGUUAAUCGGGGCAGGGUGAGUCGACCCCUAAGGCGAGGCCGAAAGGCGUAGUCGAUGGGAAACGGGUUAAUAUUCCCGUACUUGGUGUUACUGCGAAGGGGGGACGGAGAAGGCUAUGUUGGCCGGGCGACGGUUGUCCCGGUUUAAGCGUGUAGGUGUGUGUUCCAGGUAAAUCCGGUUCACUUUAACACUGAGGCGUGACGACGAGGCACUACGGUGCUGAAGCAACAAAUGCCCUGCUUCCAGGAAAAGCCUCUAAGCAUCAGGUAACAUCAAAUCGUACCCCAAACCGACACAGGUGGUCAGGUAGAGAAUACCAAGGCGCUUGAGAGAACUCGGGUGAAGGAACUAGGCAAAAUGGUGCCGUAACUUCGGGAGAAGGCACGCUGACACGUAGGUGAAGUGAUUUACUCAUGGAGCUGAAGUCAGUCGAAGAUACCAGCUGGCUGCAACUGUUUAUUAAAAACACAGCACUGUGCAAACACGAAAGUGGACGUAUACGGUGUGACGCCUGCCCGGUGCCGGAAGGUUAAUUGAUGGGGUCAGCGCAAGCGAAGCUCCUGAUCGAAGCCCCGGUAAACGGCGGCCGUAACUAUAACGGUCCUAAGGUAGCGAAAUUCCUUGUCGGGUAAGUUCCGACCUGCACGAAUGGCGUAAUGAUGGCCAGGCUGUCUCCACCCGAGACUCAGUGAAAUUGAACUCGCUGUGAAGAUGCAGUGUACCCGCGGCAAGACGGAAAGACCCCGUGAACCUUUACUAUAGCUUGACACUGAACAUUGAGCCUUGAUGUGUAGGAUAGGUGGGAGGCUUUGAAGUGUGGACGCCAGUCUGCAUGGAGCCGACCUUGAAAUACCACCCUUUAAUGUUUGAUGUUCUAACGUGGACCCGUUACCCGGGUUGCGGACAGUGUCUGGUGGGUAGUUUGACUGGGGCGGUCUCCUCCUAAAGAGUAACGGAGGAGCACGAAGGUUGGCUAAUCCUGGUCGGACAUCAGGAGGUUAGUGCAAUGGCAUAAGCCAGCUUGACUGCGAGCGUGACGGCGCGAGCAGGUGCGAAAGCAGGUCAUAGUGAUCCGGUGGUUCUGAAUGGAAGGGCCAUCGCUCAACGGAUAAAAGGUACUCCGGGGAUAACAGGCUGAUACCGCCCAAGAGUUCAUAUCGACGGCGGUGUUUGGCACCUCGAUGUCGGCUCAUCACAUCCUGGGGCUGAAGUAGGUCCCAAGGGUAUGGCUGUUCGCCAUUUAAAGUGGUACGCGAGCUGGGUUUAGAACGUCGUGAGACAGUUCGGUCCCUAUCUGCCGUGGGCGCUGGAGAACUGAGGGGGGCUGCUCCUAGUACGAGAGGACCGGAGUGGACGCAUCACUGGUGUUCGGGUUGUCAUGCCAAUGGCACUGCCCGGUAGCUAAAUGCGGAAGAGAUAAGUGCUGAAAGCAUCUAAGCACGAAACUUGCCCCGA